rnacentral:misc_RNA from 1 species
AUGGUACUAAGUGUACACAAAUGCCUAGUAAAAGAUAAAUUGUGUGAAGAUCCCAUAUUGGUUUGGGACGGGUAAUAUGCCCCUUGUAUGGCCUUGGGCAUUCCUCCCCGUUAGCUAGCUUGAGUUAGGCUCAGCCCAAAGAAAAUGGCAUCAGAACCUACCAACCAAUGUUUGGGUCUCCCAUGAGUAUUUCACACUCUAGAUAUUCAGUACUCAGCAUGAGGGCGUAAGGGGCUGUGUUUGGUUUGGUUUGGGUUAGGGGUAAUCUGCCCACCCCAAAAGCUAGUUGGGGAGGAGUGCCCAAAGGCAUAUAAGCGGCUGAAAUACUUAUGAAAGAUCUAAAAUAUUGGUUGGGAAGGUUCUGAUAUCUUAAGAAAAUGGGCCGCGUCUAAUUCACCCCUAAAAGCUAGCUCAAGG